rfam:Schistosoma curassoni strain Dakar, Senegal genome assembly, scaffold: SCTD_scaffold0001928
AUCUAGCCGACCAGUCUCAAAAAGGACGAAACGCGCGUCCUGAAU